rnacentral:tRNA from 1 species
GGGUGAUUAGCUCAGCUGGUUAGAGUGCCUGCGUGACAUGCAGGAGGUCAUAGGUUCAAGUCCCAUAUCACCCACCA